UCCCUUGUAGCUCAGUCAGUAAAGAAUCUGCCUGCAAUUCAGAAGACCCGGGUUCGAUUCCUGGGUUGGGAA
rnacentral:tRNA from 1 species